GCUUCUUCAACAAAAAGACUUUUCUUGGAUUCUUUCACUGCUUGACCUUCUCUGGAACUUCCCCCCACGAUUCCUCACGAGGUUCGAUCAAUCCUUCCCUUCUCGCCUCUCUUUUCAUGUUUCGGCUUUCGUCUGCAUCCUCUCUUUUCCCCUGAUUAAGUUUAUGCUUACACUAGAACUUUGUUUGAUGGCAUUUGAUGCAUGAUGUGGAACGGUUGUGUGUGAGUCGAGGGUUGACUGGAUAUGCAGAUUGUGGAUCUGUUUUGGAGUCAAGGACUGUCGUGCUUGGUCUUGGAAAUGGUGUUUUGGAAGCAAUGGUUGGUGUUUAGCUUUGUGAUUGCUUUAGCAAUCUGUGAGAGAACCUAUCUUCUUGCUUGCUUGUUGUGAUUGUGGAUGAAUUGGCAUCUGUUGUUGAGAGAUAUCUGUGCUGCAGAGAGUGUGGCUCAAGGGUUCGGGUUCUUUUUAGGCGUUGUACCUUCAUAACUCCGUCGGGUGACUUUGAUGGGGUUACGGAACGAGAGCUGUUUACUGCUUUUCAUCGGAUAUCUGUCAUGCUUUGUCUACAAAUCUUGUCAUGUGAUCUGCUCAUCGAGAUCUUAUAUUGCUUUCCAUGCAUAAGGAUGUUUGUGCAUUCUUUCAUGUCACUGGAAAAACUUUCACUUAAUGCUCUUAUUUUUUGCACUUUUUCAACUAAAAGACUGAACUAUACUCAACCUUUUCCUUGCGUUUCCUGAUUCUUUUCUCAGUCUUACAGUGGUAUUCAAGCUCUCCUCUAGUAUGUUAUGUAAGACUAACAUUCUGCUGGAAGUAACCCCUGUGCUUUAGAUAUGCUUUAGUAAUGCUAGAACGAUCAAUCUGUCAUUAAGGCAAUUUCCUUACAAAAAGAGGUUGCGCUUAUCUGCGAGUUCAUUUGAGUUUAACCUUUCCUUUGCAGAAGCUGUCAUGCCUUUCUACUGCUGGUUUAGAUGUAUGUGCAGCCUAGAUAAUUGGGACUGGCCAAGGAAGGGCACAGCAUUUUUUGAAAUUCCAUGCUUGAUUCUUUGGUUUCUUGGCCAAGAUGCCUUCUAUUUCAUGGUCAAAAUUUAGCUAAGAUGGUGACUUGAUUAUCAGCAGUCAGGAGACUGAAUGGAACCAAAGAGCCUGGUUUUGGUGUUGCCUUCGCAUAAUUGUUGGUGAAGCCAUUCUAUAUCAAGGGGGCAUAUUGCUAGAUGAUGUCUUCAGUAGCUGUAGGUCCUUGGUGGAAAUGAUCACAUGUUUUGACAUGUAUGGUAACUUGCAGCUUUGAGGCAAGAACUGGAGCAUUAUGUUUUCAUACGCCAGUUUUUUCAAGGGGACAAUCACCUCGUGGCACACUUCAACACACUGUAUUGACAGCUUUAGAUGGGGACUUUGGCAGUAGCUGAAAAUCAAGCUGCGCAUGACUCUGAACUCCUGGGCUAGUCAAUUGUAUCAAUGCAUGGUUUUGACUUAGUCCACUUAUUUAUAGCAAACAAUUGUAUGCGGGAUUCACCUCCAGCUUUCAUAAUUUACAAUAUUCAAAGCCUGGUUUGUUAUCUUCUUCUUUUGCACUUCCAUUUGAUGCAGCCAUUUGCAGAGCGCCCCCUUCGAAUUAAAAGG
rnacentral:lncRNA from 1 species